rnacentral:tRNA from 1 species
GGGUUUGGAACCCUAAAGUUAGGGUUUAGGGUUUGGAACCCUAAAUCCUAGGGUUUGAAACCCUAAAACCUU